rnacentral:rRNA from 1 species
UUAGCUGAUGAUCUGGGCUUAUCGGCUUACCGAAAUCAGCCAAACUCCGAAUGCUGGCAAG